GAUGAACGCUGGCGGCGUGCCUAAUACAUGCAAGUCGAGCGAGCGGCGGACGGGUGAGUAAUGUCUGGGAAACUGCCUGAUGGAGGGGGAUAACUACUGGAAACGGUAGCUAAUACCGCAUACCAUCAGAUGUGCCCAGAUGGGAUUAGCUAGUAGGUGGGGUAACGGCUCACCUAGGCGACGAUCGCUAGCUGGUCUGAGAGGAUGACCAGCCACACGGGAACUGAGACACGGUCCAGAGUCCUACGGGAGGCAGCAGGGGGGAGUAGGGCACAAUGGGCGCAAGCCUGAUACAGCCAUGCCGCGUGUAUGAAGAAGGCCUUCGGGUUGUAAAGUACUUUCAGCGGGGAGGCGUUACCCGCAGAAGAAGCACCGGCUAACUCCGUGCCAGCAGCCGCGGUAAUAC
rnacentral:rRNA from 1 species